rnacentral:pre_miRNA from 1 species
UCACCUUUUUCUACAUUCAAGCUGGGGUUCGAAGAGAGAGAGCACAGUCCCAGACUUUUCACUCACGACCACUUUGAGUGUCUUAUGGUGAACAGUAGUCGGGCUGUACUCUCUCUUUUCCAGUCCCUACUCGAAUGUGUUUCUAUCGC